AACGAACGCUGGCGGCAUGCCUAACACAUGCAAGUCGAACGAGACCUUCGGGUCUUGUGGCGCACGGGUGCGUAACGCGUGGGAACCUGCCCUUAGGUUCGGAAUAACUCCCCGAAAGGGGUGCUAAUACCGGAUAAUGUCUUCGGACCAAGGAUUUGUCGCCUUUGGAUGGGCCCGCGUUGGAUUAGCUAGUUGGUACGGUAAAAGCCUACCAAGGCGACGAUCCAUAGCUGGUCUGAGAGACUGAUCAGCCACACUGGGACUGAGACACGGCCCAGACUCCUACGGGAGGCAGCAGUGGGGAAUAUUGGACAACGGGCGAAAGCAUGAUCCAGCAAUGCCGCGUGAGUGAUGAAGGCCUGAGGGUUGUAAAGCUCUUUUACCCGGGAUGAUAAUGACAGUACCGGGAGAAUAAGCUCCGGCUAACUCCGUG
rnacentral:rRNA from 1 species